GCCAGCAGCCAUAUCACCCUUCAUCUCACAACUGGUAACCCACUGAAGCUAAGCAUGUGUGAGCCUGGUCAGUACCUGGAUGGGAGAGCACCAGGGAAAAACUGUUGCUGCUGGAA
rnacentral:rRNA from 1 species